UAUAUAGAGAUUAUGCUUCUGGUUGUUAACAGCCUCCAGAAGGCAGGUUGAAUUAUCAUUCACUGUGCUUUCCAAUGAAGAUAAUUGUGUACCCUGGAAAAACUAGAAAUAAUUAACAUAGCUGCAGAGGAAAAUUAUCUGACUCCAAGUUUUCUAUUUUUUUUUCCUUUGGUAAACUUGAUUCUGGAUUUAAGUUAGUACUGACGCUUAUUUGCCAUUCAGUGGGCACUAGAAGCCAAUGAUUUAAUGAUGACAAGCCAUCAAAACUGCAAAAAUAGUUAAGGCUGCCAUAUAUUGAGCCUUUACUCUGGGGUCUUUAUUAUGCAUACAUGUAUAUACACAUAUAUGUAUCUAUGUAUAUGUGUGUAUGCAUAAUUUUCAUAAUAAUUCUGAGGUAUUUUUAUCCCAGAGUAAAGAUUUAAAGGAAUAAAAACAUGAAACUGAGGCUUAUCCCAAUUUACCCAAGAUACAUCAACAACCUAUCAGCAGAAGCUGGAUCAAGUACAGGUUUGUCACAGAAUCUGUACACUAAAUGUUGAUUUUAUACUUCAUUUCUGACUAGUGUUUUAAAAACAGAGACCUUGUCAGUCUGUUUAUUUCUCCAAAGUGUCCUUCAAGUUUAAUUAAUGUGUCUCCCUUAAUGUGAAGAUGAAGUUAUAUAGAAAGUGUGAUUGGAUAUACAUUCAAAUUACAAUAAAUACACCUAAAACUGCAAAUAAGCUUGAGGGUGACCAUAAUGAUCAUUAACUAAUUUUGCUACUAAUCCAUCAUAACUAGGUUCAAAGUAAGCACAACAGUCCCGUCUUGGAAACGGAAUAUGUGUUAUAAAACAAAGUACCAAAUGAAGACUUAUAAUUAACUGUUUAAAUUGUGUAUCUUUGGGAACACAUACAUUUAAGGUUGAUGAAAUAUUAUUGGAUCUGUUUAUACUUCAGAAGGAAGUGACAGAGAAAAAAGGAAAGAAGAUGAGAUAUAGG
ensembl:lncRNA novel transcript